rnacentral:rRNA from 1 species
AAAACAUGCAGUCGAACGGAAAGGCCCUGCUUGCAGGGUACUCGAGUGGCGAACGGGUGAGUAACACGUGGGUGAUCUGCCCUGUACUUUGGGAUAAGCCUGGGAAACUGGGUCUAAUACCGAAUAUGACCACUUCUUGGAUGGGGUGGUGGAAAGCUUUUGCGGUAUGGGAUGAGCUCGCGGCCUAUCAGCUUGUUGGUGGGGUAAUGGCCUACCAAGGCGUCGACGGGUAGCCGGCCUGAGAGGGUGUACGGCCACAUUGGGACUGAGAUACGGCCCAGACUCCUACGGGAGGCAGCAGUGGGGAAUAUUGCACAAUGGGCGCAAGCCUGAUGCAGCGACGCCGCGUGGGGGAUGACGGCCUUCGGGUUGUAAACUCCUUUCGCAACCGACGAAGCUUUUGUGACGGUAGGUUGAGAAGAAGCACCGGCUAACUACGUGCCAGCAGCCGCGGUAAUACGUAGGGUGCGAGCGUUGUCCGGAAUUACUGGGCGUAAAGAGCUCGUAGGUGGUUUGUCGCGUCGUUUGUGGAAUACCGCAGCUUAACUGCGGGGUUGCAGGCGAUACGGGCAUAACUUGAGUGCUGUAGGGGAGACUGGAAUUCCUGGUGUAGCGGUGGAAUGCGCAGAUAUCAGGAGGAACACCGAUGGCGAAGGCAGGUCUCUGGGCAGUAACUGACGCUGAGGAGCGAAAGCAUGGGGAGCGAACAGGAUUAGAUACCCUGGUAGUCCAUGCCGUAAACGGUGGGCGCUAGGUGUGAGUCCCUUCCACGGGGUUCGUGCCGUAGCUAACGCAUUAAGCGCCCCGCCUGGGGAGUACGGCCGCAAGGCUAAAACUCAAAGGAAUUGACGGGGGCCCGCACAAGCGGCGGAGCAUGUGGAUUAAUUCGAUGCAACGCGAAGAACCUUACCUGGGCUUGACAUACACUGGAUCGGGCUAGAGAUAGUCUUUCCCUUUGUGGCUGGUGUACAGGUGGUGCAUGGUUGUCGUCAGCUCGUGUCGUGAGAUGUUGGGUUAAGUCCCGCAACGAGCGCAACC